rnacentral:rRNA from 1 species
ACUAAAUAGAUACCCGGGUAGUCCACGCCGUAAACGAUGGAUACUAGCUGUUCGGAGCAAUCUGAGUGGCUAAAGCGAAAAGUGAUAAGUAUCCCACCUGGGGAGUACGCACGCAAGUGUGAAACUCAAAGGAAUUGACGGGGGCCCGCACAAGCGGUGGAGCAUGUGGUUUAAUUCGAUGAUACGCGAGGAACCUUACCAGGGCUUAAAUGUAGAUUGACAGGACUGGAAACAGUUUUUCUUCGGACAAUUUACAAGGUGCUGCAUGGUUGUCGUCAGCUCGUGCCGUGAGGUGUCAGGUUAAGUCCUAUAACGAGCGCAACCCCUGUCGUUAGUUGCCAGCGAGUCAUGUCGGGAACUCUAACGAGACUGCCAGUGUAAACUGUGAGGAAGGUGGGGAUGACGUCAAAUCAUCACGGCCCUUACGUCCUGGGCCACACACGUGCUACAAUGGUAGGUACAGAGAGCAGCCACUGCGCGAGCAGGAGCGAAUCUACAAAACCUAUCUCAGUUCGGAUCGGAGUCU